rnacentral:rRNA from 1 species
AGUGAACGCUGGCGGUAGGCCUAACACAUGCAAGUCGAACGGCAGCACAGUAAGAGCUUGCUCUUACGGGUGGCGAGUGGCGGACGGGUGAGGAAUACAUCGGAAUCUACUUUUUCGUGGGGGAUAACGUAGGGAAACUUACGCUAAUACCGCAUACGACCUACGGUUGAAAGCAGGGGAUCUUCGGACCUUUCGCGAUUGAAUGAGCCGAUUUCGGAUUAGCUAGUUGGCGGGGUAAAGGCCCACCAAGGCGACGAUCCGUAGCUGGUCUGAGAGGAUGAUCAGCCACACUGGAAAUGAGAAAAGGUCCAGACUCCUAAGGGAGGCAGCAGUGGGGAAUAUUGGACAAUGGGCGCAAGCCUGAUCCAGCCAUACCGCGUGGGUGAAGAAGGCCUUCGGGUUGUAAAGCCCUUUUGUUGGGAAAGAAAAGCAGCAGGUUAAUACCCCGCUGUUCUGACGGUACCCAAAGAAUAAGCACCGGCUAACUUCGUG